rnacentral:misc_RNA from 1 species
ACGUGAUACUCACGUAUUAAACGAACCGUGAAACGUUAUUUAACCCUAUUGUUGAUUGUGGAUAGAUAUUGGGAGGGAAUGGUAUGAGCCGCCACCGUAAAAAGUCUCCGCUCUAACUCACAAUAUCGUUCUAGGUCCGCCCUGGAGUCUGCACCAACAAAUAGUAGAUGAAUUUCGACUGCUUAUUAAUCCUGUACCAUAGAUUGCAGUUCGAAGUGAAAUUAUUAACCCUUUAAUAUUAUUAACUGAUUUGUACGUUUAUAUGAAUUCCUAACUUCGGUUGGUUGAGUUUAUAUAGAUGUCGUAUAUUACUAAUACGAAACAACUCUUAGCAACGGAUAUCUUGGUUCU